GGCGGACGGGUGAGUAACACGUGGAUAAUCUGCCCUUCGGCGGGGGACAACAGUCCGAAAGGAUUGCUAAUACCGCGUACGUCUGCGAGGUCUUCGGACCUUGCAGGGAAAGAUGGCCUCUUCAUGAAAGCUAUCACCGAAGGAUGAGUCCGCGUCCCAUCAGCUAGUUGGCGGGGUAAUGGCCCACCAAGGCGAAGACGGGUAGCUGGUCUGAGAGGAUGAUCAGCCACACUGGAACUGAGACACGGUCCAGACUCCUACGGGAGGCAGCAGUGGGGAAUAUUGGGCAAUGGGCGCAAGCCUGACCCAGCCAUGCCGCGUGAGUGAUGAAGGCCUUCGGGUCGUAAAGCUCUGUGGAGAGGGAAGAACAUCGACGUGGCUAAUAUCCACGGCGACUGACGGUACCUCUUUAGCAAGCACCGGCUAACUUCGUGCCAGCAGCCGCGGUAAUACGAGGGGUGCAAACGUUGCUCGGAAUCAUUGGGCGUAAAGCGCGCGUAGGCGGCUUGUUAAGUUGGGUGUGAAAGCCCUGGGCUCAACCCAGGAAGUGCACUCAAAACUGGCAAGCUUGAAUCUGGAA
rnacentral:rRNA from 1 species